rnacentral:rRNA from 1 species
AUUGAACGCUGGCGGCAUGCCUUACACAUGCAAGUCGAACGGUAACGGGCCUUCGGGUGCCGACGAGUGGCGAACGGGUGAGUAAUACAUCGGAACGUGCCCGAUCGUGGGGGAUAACGAGGCGAAAGCUUUGCUAAUACCGCAUACGAUCUACGGAUGAAAGCAGGGGACCGCAAGGCCUUGCGCGGACGGAGCGGCCGAUGGCGGAUUAGGUAGUUGGGGGGAUAAAAGCUUACCAAGCCGACGAUCUGUAGCUGGUCUGAGAGGAUGAUCAGCCACACUGGGACUGAGACACGGCCCAGACUCCUACGGGAGGCAGCAGUGGGGAAUUUUGGACAAUGGGCGCAAGCCUGAUCCAGCCAUGCCGCGUGCAGGAUGAAGGCCUUCGGGUUGUAAACUGCUUUUGUACGGAACGAAAAGCCUUCUUUUAAUACAGGAGGGUCAUGACGGUACCGUAAGAAUAAGCACCGGCUAACUACGUG